rnacentral:rRNA from 1 species
CCUGGGAAGCAUAAUAUACAUGCAGUCGAGCGGACAGAUGGGAGCUUGCUCCCUGAUGUUAGCGGCGGACGGGUGAGUAACACGUGGGUAACCUGCCUGUAAGACUGGGAUAACUCCGGGAAACCGGGGCUAAUACCGGAUGGUUGUUUGAACCGCAUGGUUCAGACAUAAAAGGUGGCUUCGGCUACCACUUACAGAUGGACCCGCGGCGCAUUAGCUAGUUGGUGAGGUAACGGCUCACCAAGGCAACGAUGCGUAGCCGACCUGAGAGGGUGAUCGGCCACACUGGGACUGAGACACGGCCCAGACUCCUACGGGAGGCAGCAGUAGGGAAUCUUCCGCAAUGGACGAAAGUCUGACGGAGCAACGCCGCGUGAGUGAUGAAGGUUUUCGGAUCGUAAAGCUCUGUUGUUAGGGAAGAACAAGUGCCGUUCAAAUAGGGCGGCACCUUGACGGUACCUAACCAGAAAGCCACGGCUAACUACGUGCCAGCAGCCGCGGUAAUACGUAGGUGGCAAGCGUUGUCCGGAAUUAUUGGGCGUAAAGGGCUCGCAGGCGGUUUCUUAAGUCUGAUGUGAAAGCCCCCGGCUCAACCGGGGAGGGUCAUUGGAAACUGGGGAACUUGAGUGCAGAAGAGGAGAGUGGAAUUCCACGUGUAGCGGUGAAAUGCGUAGAGAUGUGGAGGAACACCAGUGGCGAAGGCGACUCUCUGGUCUGUAACUGACGCUGAGAGCGAAAGCGUGGGGAGCGAACAGGAUUAGAUACCCUGGUAGUCCACGCCGUAAACGAUGAGUGCUAGGUGUUAGGGGGGUUUCCGCCCCCUUAGUGCUGCAGCUAACGCAUAAGCACUCCGCCUGGGGAGUACGGGUCGCAGGACUGAAACUCAAAGGAAUUGACGAGGGGCCCGGCACCAGCCGGUUGAACCAUGGUGAUAAGUCCGAGCCACUCGGAGACUACCAGGAUCUGACGGUCGCUCUGGACAUCUAGAAUAGGACGUUCUCUUAUCGGGGAACUGA